ACUUUUUGAUAAAAGAAAUGGUGUUACAAUAUAGAAGUAAAGUAAAAUAAUUUUGGAAGGUAUAUAGGAUCUAUUCCUUGGUCAGCUGUCAGUGACCAACUAGCCUCAAUGAAGGGAAGGAUCCCAAGGAACACUGUGGAGGGCAGUGAAACACUUAGAGCAAAUAGUAAAAGGAAUUAAUCAGUUACUAAUAGGGUAGGAAAUAGCAUGGGUGUUAAGUCAAACAUCUGAUUAAGUAAUUACUGAGUUAACAAAAAGUAUUUAAGAAACUAUUUUAGAGAAAGAUUUUCACUGUAAUUUAAGCUAUUUAUGUCAAAUACUUGUCUUGAUUUUAUGCACUUGAAAUGCUUGGCAAGAACUGGCACAUAGUAGGUUCUCAAAUAUUUGCUUGAAGGAAGAAAAAUAUACUUACUUACACUAGUGAGAUGUGUUAAUGCAGAGCAAACAUUUUAGAGCUAAGGCAGAAAGGAUUUUCUCUAUUUGUUGGUGUCUGCUGAGAACCAAAGCAUAUAAUAAAAUUAGUUGGUUUUUUUCCUCAGGACUCUUGAGUGGCUGUAUGGAAAGGCACGGAUAUAAUCGUGGGUUAGAAAUUCUUUACAACAGUAAUGAAACCAAUAAAAUUGGAAGAUUAAAAGAGAUUCAUUUCUAAAGUAUUACAGUGGACUUUGUUAACUUAAUUAAAUUAUUUAAGUCUAAUCUCUUCUAAGUUAGUGACAAAAAGCUUCUUUUUAUGACAUUGUCUUGGAAAUCAUUUAGACCACCAUGACAUAAAAGGCUAUGGAAGUAUUUUUUCAGGCCUGAGGACAUUUAAAUCUAGGUUCUGUUUUGUGGAUUAUAGAUUUUUUUUAAGGGCAAGUAAAUGUUCCUCUUAAUUUUCUUGCAAUAUGUAAAAUUCAAAUCACCUGGGCAUUAAUCACUAGAGAUUCACUUCAGUUAUAACCCUAAAGUUGUGCCAUGGAAAAAGAAUGGGUUGAUAGCGGGGGUGACUAGAGUUUUUGAAACCUAAAUGUCACAUUGCAUUUGAUUAUUAAUUCAAAAUAUUUUUAGCUGAGUUCUCCAUAAUCAGAGCUCAUCAGACUAUUGACUAUAUUCAAGAGCUAAGUAAUUAAAAGGAAGAAGUCAACAUCACAAGUUAAAUUUACAGAGAAGUCAUUAUUAUUUUGUUAAUAGCUUCUGUGACUUCCUAGGAUAUAACUUUUGAAUCACACAGUCAUGUACCUAUUGACUUGCUAGAACUUUUCAAGUAAAUGUAUUUUCUAACAAACUUUGGAUGUAGAUAGGAUCAGUUUCAGGUGAUAUUAUUGGAAUAUUUUGUCCUUGAAAGGAAAUCUUAGCCAAAAAAACAAUAAUUCAACAUCUGACUUAUUUGACCUUAAAAAUGUUACUUCAAUGAAUGAUUUUAAGGUUUUAAAUAGGAAACAUUGUUUUUACACAUUUACAAUUUAUAAUUUAAAGCACAUUGGAAAGGAUUGGGAUAAAGUACCAGUGGACAAAAUUCGCAUUUAAUAAAUUGCUUGAAGUUUUACUAUGUAUGUUGGCAUCUGCAUAAUUUGCUUUCAGUGACUAUAAUCUUUUCAGAGGGUCCAAUGGAUGGGUUUUAACUUUAACUUUAAUGAAGAUAGUUUGGAGAAAAUAAUCCAGAGGAAUUGUGCUUUUUAGCCCCUUCAAGCAAAAUCCAAGAAUCUUUGCUCUGACCCAUCUACCUAUUUAAAGAGUUUGCUUAAUGAAAGGUUAUGUCAAGACCAUCAUGAGCUAAGUCUGAAGGCCAAUUAAGGCUUGGUGAAAGGAAAAUCUUUUUACCAAAAUUGAUGUCCAAUUAGCAUGGGUCUGUUUGUAUAGGUCAGGUAAAAAUCUAGGUUCAUUGAUUGUUUUUUCUUUAAUUUAUUAUUUAAAUGUUUUUUUUGAAAUUAGGAAAGUUAUAUAUGCUCACUGUUACCAGUGAAAAAUGAAAGAGAUGAAUGGAGACAGAGGUUAUUUUUUCCCCCUACUCUUUUCCCUCGUUAAUCAAUGUUAAUGGCAGCAGGUGUAUCAUUCUACAAGUUCUGCUUUCUUGUAUGGAAGUAUGAGUACACGUCAAAAAUGUGUGUUUUAUUAAUGUUUGUUUCUAUAAAAAUGCAUCACAUUAAAUAUAUUACUCUGAAAUUUAAUUUUUCAUGUAACAAUAUGAAUAGAUCUCUCAAGACAGUCGAUAUAGAUGUAACCACAUAUCAGAAUCACGCAUCAGAACUGGAUGACUUGUUAGGACACAUUACCAGGCCCCAUCCUCAGACAUUCCCAUAGGUCUGGAGUGGGGUCAAAUAUGCAUUUGUAACAAGUUCCUAGGUGAUGCUGAGACUACUGGGCCAAGGGCCAGACUUUAAGAGCCACUGGUUUAGCCUAUUCUUCUGGAUAGAAGUGGAUUCCUGCAUAGAGUAGAAUGUUGUGAUUUAUCCAACCAUUUCCCCUGUUGGUGGCCCUUUAUUUUUUCUUAUUUUGCCAUAAUAAAAUAUUGCUGCAAUAGACAUUUUGUUGAUAUAACACAAAGAUUUUUAUGUCUAUAGUAUAGAUUCCCAAAUUGAGAUUAGUGGGUCAAAGGUGGUGUUUACAAUUUUAACAGCUUUUGCCUGAUUAAUUCCCAAAAGCGGUUAUUACAUAUUACUAAUUACUACAUAAAGAUUAUAUAUCCCUGUUUCCUCAUCAGCAGUGUAUUGUCACUGUAUUAUUAUUUCUUUAUGAGAUAAGUGAAAAAAUGGCAUCUCGUUGUUUUAACUUACAUUCCCCUAAGCCCCAAAAGGUUAAGAGAAUUCUUGUAUGUUUAUUAACCACUAGGAUUCCCUCUUUGUCCAUUGUCCCUUUAGUUACUUUUCUUUUUCCUAAUUAUUUCUAGAGAUUUUUUUAAUAUAAGGAAUAUUAACCCUUAAUAUGGCAAGCGUUGAAAAUAUUUCUUUCAGUCUCUCCCUUCACUUUUAACUCUGUUUAUGAUAUGACUGGCAUGAAAAAUCUGUAAUUUUUAUGUAAUGAAAUAUUACAUAGGUAGUGUCUUUAGGUCUUCUAUCUUAUUUAAGAGACUCUUGUAUAAUGCAAGGUUAUACAAAUAUUCUUCUAAAGUUUCUUAUAAUGUUUUAACUAUUUUAUAUUUUGCAUUUAAAUGAUUAUUGUAUCUGGAAUUAAUUUUAAAAUAUCAUGUGAAGUUGGGCUAUAGUGGCAACCCUCCCCCCUUUUCAGGGACUGGGGGCAUUUUUCUCUCCUAUGUAAUUCUUUCUAGGCUUUCCACAUCACUAGGCCCACGUGCAACAAGUAAGCAGGCAUAGUCUUUCUGGAAGAGGAGCACGGGCACCUGCUUGCUAAUUUCCCUCACUACCAAGAAACCUGAAUCAUCACCAGAGACCCCAAACAUAGGAUUUUGGAAACAACAAAGUAGAUGAGAGCAGAGAAAAGGAGGGACAGAUGCACAAUGGGAGAGAAAGAAAGAACAAAAGGGACAGGAGGGGCAAGAUACAUCUGGCUGUGCCUGAAGCAAGAACUACUGUUGGAUUUUUUACUAACAUGAGCCAAUCACUUCUGUUGACUUUAACCAUCUAUACAAAAUCACAGAAGACUGGCAUAUGGAGGUUAACUCAAGGGAUUUGGGGAGAACUUUCUCCUCCAUUAAAAUUUUGAGAAAGAUAUUUUGGUUUCUGGAAAUUUCUGGAAAAGUCCUCAAAGUUAUUAUUUCCAUACUAUACCUCAGGGUUCUUUCCUAACUUUUUAAGAUGGAUUGAGAACUAAGAGACAGAAUCCUUUCCUAAGAAUCUGAAGAAAAGCCACCUCAGACAGUCUUUCUGAAUGUCAUGUUUUCCCACAUUGAGUUCCAGCACAGAUCUCUUGGACAUCCAGUAAGAGUAAAUAAGUUCUAAUAUCUUGUCAUCCCUUUAAAGGAUAGAAUACUCCUUAACAGCCAAUAAACACACUUUGUAGUGCUUCCUUAGGUGCUUAGUUUGGGAGGUCAAGACCUGAUCAUUGUCAAAUGUUCUUUUGAAGUGAUUUUAGAUACUAUAUAUAUAGACACUAUAUAUAUGUAUAUGUAUAUUAUAGAUACUAUAUAUAUGUAUCUAGUCAGGGUUUGAAUAAUCAAGGGUAACAAAUUUUGUUUCUUUUGUUCUCUUUGUUUGAAGAAAUGCAAAAAAUGAGUUGGUGUUAGCUGGCUGUGCAGCUUGAACCAUCCACCCCCUAGGAAGAAUUUACAUGUUUAAGUAUUGGAUUGGUUGGUAGUGCUUUUAAAAUAUGUGUGUUUGGCUCUGCCACUAUCUCAACGAAUAGUAGCUGCCUUUAAAUGAAAGGCCUAAUGCUUUUUUGACUAAUACUGUAACACCCCAUGGAAAUCCCCAUUAGUCCCUUUGAUGGAGCCUUUCGUGCCAUUCAGUGUAUUCUCUUGCCCUAUUUCCCAGGAUGGAAAUUUGACCUAUCCUGCAUCCAGGAGCCUAACACUGCCACAGAAAGGUUUUCAAAUGCUCUUCAAGUACUAUGCAGAUAACCAGAGGAUAGGUGGAGCUAUGUGCUACAACAUUUUUACUUACCUGAGUGAUAGGACUUAGAGGUAGAAGGUGCUGACAAUAGACAGUGUACUUAAAUAUCCAUAACUCCCCAUGGACUAUGACUGAAUAGUGCUGGCAUAGAGUAGAACCGAAAGGAUUAACACAGAGAACUGUGUCUUGAUAAUUCCUUUUUUAGGGGAACCUUAGUGUAUGGCAAACCUUGCUACAGCUUUUGUCCAAGAAAUGAUGCCAGGCUGAUAGGAAAGCUAGUUUUACUAAACUAGUACUAGUUUACUAAUAGAGCUUUGUAGUUUCCCUGUAGCCUAACCUAGUAGCUUGGGCAAGCUAUGUUUAAGCCAUUGACAUUCGUAAGCUCUGUAAGUAAUAUCUGCAUAAUUUUAUUUAUGGUUAGAGGUGGAGAGACCGAAAAGGUAACAGCUCACCUUUCCCCAGCCCUCCAUUUUGAACAUACUGUCUCCAGGUAUGUGGCUAGUGAUGUAAGGAUAAAUUCCUCUAUUGGAAUAUCUGAUUUAUUAUUCCAGGGAAAAUCAAGAAGCAGAGUUGUGUCUAGAUAAAUAAUGGAAAUAUGUGUUUUCUUAAUUUUCUUUUGUGUAUCUUUGUUUUGCAAUUUUUCCAAGACGAGUGUGGAUUACGUUUCAGAUAAAAAAAAAGUUGUAUUUAAAAUUAAGUUCAAGGUUUUCUAGCAACAGUUUCAGCUCCUGUCUCUUACUCUGCUUCUUUCCUCAAAGGAUUGCAAAUGCAAGGAUUUCAAUACCUUAUCUACUCGUUUAAAAACAUUCUAGAGAUCCAUCGCAAGUAGCAGCUGUUAUAAGAACUUUCUACUCCCUUAAACACCUAAUCCCCUGUGACACAUUCCAUUUAUCCUCCUUUUGUGGUGACUACAGCUUUAGCUGCCCCAUGUGGGGAGACUUGCUGGUUUUAUUUCGUUGCUCUGGAUUGCUGCUCUUAGAUUGCUGAAAAAUGAACUUAUUCUAUAGCACUCAGUCUGUCGUGUUGCUCCUUUCUGAAGUUACUGUUCUGAAUUAUUCCCUGUGUCCAGGAUAACUCUUUGUCUACUCAGUAUAUUUCUUCUCUUUUACUUUGUACCUGCCGACCAUUUUAUAUUGGCAAUUUGUGCAGGUCUAUGCUAAAAAUCUUCUUUGAAUAGCAAAUCUUCCAUGCUUUGAACUCCUCUAAUCAAAACUUGCUGUUUAAAAUUCUGCCUGUGAUUUUGCUUCUGCUUAACUGUGGACACCUUUGGCAUAGUUAUCUUUAUUCUUUCUAGCUAAUGAAAAUUUGGGCUAAAGAAGGGAUCUUUUUAUUUCCCAUUAAAAAUGCAUUUGUCAAAAUUAUUAGUUUUGGAAUAUCAGAUUUCAAAGGGAGCUCAGAGACCAUCUGCUCAAAUCAUCUCAUUUGUCAGAUUGAGAAAAACGAGCCUCAGACCUCAGACAUAUGGGGACCAGACUAAAACUAGAAUCCAGAUCGCUGGUUGUCUUCUUACCAUAUCUGGUCUACUUUACUCUCAAUGGAAAAUGUAAUUUUCAUAUCCUAAUGUUUAAAACAAAGAAAUAAAUGUAAGGGAUGAAAUUGUUGAUUCAUCAGAGGGACUUCAGUUGCAAACAACAAAAACUGAUUCUGGCCAAUGUGGGCAAAAGGGAAUUUGCUGAAAGAUCAUGAGAGGCUAACUUAAUUCCUUAGCACAGGUUUUCAAAAUGAGAAGUGAUUAGGAGACCUCAGAAGGAGAAACAGCAUGUUCAUCCAUCAAGAUGCCUUCAGUGUUCCCCUCAGCUUGAUGAAAUAUCAAACAGGUUUUUUCCUGACUAUGGGCCCCUAAGAUCCCUUUUCUUAGAGUAUUUACUUUAGAAAAUUUGCAACUAUAAAUUCUUUCUUUGCUCCAUUGAGAUAUAAAUCUUCUCUCAGACUUCUCCUGGUUUUACAACCCAAAAGUGUCUUUCAUAAGGACCUGGGAGCCACCCCUUGGAAAUGCAGCCAUCAAAAAAGAUAGGGCCCUUGUUUCGUUUCUGUGGGAGGGUAGGAGCCUAAUUUCAAUAAAUACCAAUUAGUAAACACAGAUGCCCUUCAAGAUUUUUUCAGUGUCUGAGUAAUGUCAAGAAUCCAAGCACUUUCUUUUUUUAUUCUUCCAAAAUUUUAUUUAAAUUCAAGUUAUUUAACAUACAGUGUAGUAAUGGUUACAGUAGUGAUUCAUCACUUACAUAAGACACCCAGUGCUCUUCAUGAGCACCCUUAAUGCCCAUCACCCACUUAGCUAAUCUCCCUACUCACCUCCCCUCUAGUAACCCUCAGUUUGUUCUCCGUUUUUAAGAGUCUCUUAUGGUGUGCCUCCCUCUCUGUUUUUAUCUUAUUUUAUAUUUCCUUCCCUUCCCCUACGUUCAUUCCACAUGAGUGAAAUCAUUUGGUAUUUGUCUUUCUCUGACUUAUUUCACUUAGCAUAAUACACUCUAGCUUCAUCCAUGUUGUUGCAAAUGGCAACAUUUCAUUCUUUUUGAAAUCUAUAUCUAUAUCUAUGUCUAUGUCUAUAUCUAUAUCUAUGUCAUCUAUAUCUAUAUUUAUAUCUAUAU